rnacentral:rRNA from 1 species
CCUACGGGCGGCUGCAGUAGGGAAUAUUGCUCAAUGGGGGAAACCCUGAAGCAGCAACGCCGCGUGGAGGAUGAAGGUUUUCGGAUUGUAAACUCCUUUUGUUAGAGAAGAUAAUGACGGUAUCUAACGAAUAAGCACCGGCUAACUCCGUGCCAGCAGCCGCGGUAAUACGGAGGGUGCAAGCGUUACUCGGAAUUACUGGGCGUAAAGGGCGCGUAGGCGGGAUAGCAAGUCAAAUGUGAAAUCCUAUGGCUUAACCAUAGAACUGCAUUUGAAACUGUUAUUCUAGAGUAUGGGAGAGGUAGGUGGAAUUCUUGGUGUAGGGGUAAAAUCCGUAGAGAUCAAGAGGAAUACUCAUUGCGAAGGCGACCUGCUAGAACAUAACUGACGCUGAUGCGCGAAAGCGUGGGGAGCAAACAGGAUUAGAUACCCGGGUAGUC